rnacentral:rRNA from 2 species
UACGAAGGGGGCUAGCGUUGCUCGGAAUUACUGGGCGUAAAGGGCGCGUAGGCGGGUGUUUAAGUCAGAGGUUAAAUCCCAGGGCUCAACCCUGGAACUGCCUUUGAUACUGGGCACCUAGAGUUCGGGAGAGGUGUGUGGAACUCCGAGUGUAGAGGUGAAAUUCGUAGAUAUUCGGAAGAACACCAGUGGCGAAGGCGACACACUGGCCCGAUACUGACGCUGAUGCGCGAAAGCGUGGGGAGCAAACAGG